GUGAAUCAUCGAAUCUUUGAACGCAAAUUGCACUCCCUUCUGAGAGGAUGCCCGUUUGAGGGUCAGCCUAAAUAAAAUCGACAUAGUUGCUGUUACGCGGUAACAUUCGUCGGAAAUUGGGACAUGUUAUACCUUUGGGUUUAAGCGGCUUAAAAUUUUCUUUACGAUUCCAUGAACGUUUCUAUGAUUUUAUCUUCUUCUACGUUUAUGUUAUCUUUCUUUAUUAGACGUGUUGGUUG
rnacentral:misc_RNA from 1 species